rnacentral:lncRNA from 1 species
AAACUGGGCAUUUUCAGCUCUCAUGAUCUCAGUUGCUGCUUCCCCAGUCCUGUUUGUGCCUAACAAGCUUGCAGUUCAUCCUAGAGCACUUCUGGACCCCAGGAUAAAAAGGAAACCUUGUCUGGAAGAGGUUCUUUCAAGUUCUCGUUGUGAAAAAAGAAAUACCUCAGCAAUAGUAGACCCCAGGUAAUAUUAAAACAUAUUCACAAUU